CCAGGUGACUGCGCCGCGGCGUCUGCUGCGCUAGGACCUGCAGGGACCGCGGGAGCCCUAGAGGGGACCCCGGGACUCCGCGAGAGCCAGGAAAUGUAUCUUUCCUAGACACACAUCCUUUGGGAAUUCGGUUGGGUUGGUUCUCCUCUUUGGAUACUUUCCUGGAUGUACUUUGGAUACUUUCACCUUUCAGCGCUGUUCCAGGACUCAGUGACCUUUGAGGAUGUGGCCGUGAACUUCACGCAGGAGGAAUGGGCUUUGCUGAACCUUUCACAGAAGAAACUAUAGAGAAACUUUCAAGAACCUGGCCUCCAUAGGGAAAAAAAUGGAAAGAUCAGAACAUUAAAGGCUGGUACAGAAACCAAGGUGACCAUCUAAGCACUCAUAUGGUAGAAAAAGACUGUGGAAGUAAAGGAGGUAGUCAAUGUGGAGAAACAUUUGGCCAGACUCCAAAUCUUAGUCUGAACAAGAAAACUCAUACUGGAGUAAAAAACUAUGUGAAUAUUGUGUGUGUGGAAUGGUCUCAUGCACUAUUUAGCCCUUAUUAGGCACAUCAGUCACACUAGACAAAAAUCACAUGAAUGUCAGAAAUAUGCAGAGAAGCCAUAUAAAUGUAAACAAUGUGAGACAGCCUUCAGUUAUCUCCAGUCCUUUCAAAGACACAUCAUAAUGCACAAUGGAGGUACACCUUAUAAAUGUAAAGUAUAUGGCAGAGUAUUCAUUUCCCUCAGUUUCUUAUAAAAACAUGAAAGAAGUCACCCUGGAUAGGAACCCUAUGAAUGUAAGCAAUGUGGUAAAGCCUUCAUAUGUUCCAUUUUCUUUCAAGUUCAUGGAAUAACUCAGAAACCCUAUGAAUGUAAGAAAUGCGGGAAAGUCUUCAGUUAUCUCCAGUCCUUUCAAAGACACAUCAUAAUGCACAAUGGAAAUACACCUUAUAAAUGUAAAGUAUGUGGGAAAGCAUUCAUUUAUCCUAAUUUCUUACAUAGAUGAAAAAAUGCACACUGGAGAGAAACCCUAUGUUCUACUUCCUUUCAAGUUCAUGAAAGAACUCAUACUAGAGAAAAACCAGAAUGUAAGCUGUGUGAGAAAGCCUUCAGUUUUCACUCAGUAUUUCAAGUACACCUGAGAAUGCAUACUGGAGAGAAAUCCUACAAAUGUAAAGAUUGUGAUAAAGCCUACAGUCAUCCCAGUUCCUUUCGAAGGCAUGAAAGGACACACACUUGAGAAAAACCCUGUGAAUGUAAAAAAUGUGGGAAAGCCUUCACUUAUCUCCAAUCCUUUCACAAACAUGAAAGGACUCACCCUGGUGAGAAACACUAUGAAUAUAAACAAUGUGGAAAAACAUUUAUGUACCACAAAUCAUUUCAAGCACAUGAAAGCACUUACACUGGAGUGAGAUCUGCACAUGAAAGCACUUACACUGGAGUGAGAUCUUAUGAAUGUAAGCAGUGUGGUAAAGUUUCAAACAUCUCUUUUCUCUUCAAAUUUUUGAAAGGAUUCACAAAGGAGAAAAGUCCUGUAAGUGUAAAAAAUGCAGUAAAGCUUUCACUUUGCCCAGAUCCCUUCAAAUACAUGAAAGAAUUCACACUGGGGAGAAACCCUAUGCAUGUAAGGAAUGUGGGAAAGACUUUCCUUUACUUUCAAAGACGUAUGAUAACGCACAAUGGAGAUGCACCUUUUAAUUGUAAAGAAUAUGGGAAAGUAUUUCUCGCAGUUUGUUACAAAGACAUGCAAUAACUCACACUGGAAAGAAGGCCCUAUGAAUGUAAACAACGUGGUAAAAGCCUUCAGCUAUUCCAUUUGUCUUCAAAAACAUGAAAAAACUCAUACUGCAGAAAAAUCCAAUAAAUAUAAACAAUGUAGGAAAACUUCUACUCACCCUAGUUAUUUGAGAAGACAAAAGAAUUCACAAUGAAGAGAAACCUUAUGAAUGUAAGUCAUGUGAAAAAGCCUUCAAUUUAUCCACAUCCUCAUAUAAACAUGAGAAUGUACACUGGACAGAAACUGAAUACGUGAAAAAUUCAGCAAAGUUCAAUUUUAACAACUUUAAAAAGGUAAACAUUUCCACUGGAGAGAUAUUCUAUAAAUAUAAGUAGUAUAUAAAGUCUAAUGCAAAUUCAUGUGUAAUGACCCAGAAAACUCACAGCAUAAAGCAAAUGUUCUAAGAGUUUUAAGUGUAUUGUUUUUAUCAGUGGCUCAUUCUUAAAGUUCAUCUCUGUACUAUGGAGUUCUACUUCAUACGUUUGCAAAGAUAAGUUAUGGUGAGAUGAUUCCAUACGUUCUGUUUAAGGAAUAGCCUAAAAGUGUAAUAGGUAAUGUUUUCCUGUUAAUGGUGAGAUGAUUCCAUACAUUCUGUUUAAGGAAUAGCCUAAAAGUAUAAUAGGUAAUGUUUUCCUGUUAAAUCGGUUAAUAAAAUUUUUCUGUUUACAUUUUUAA